GAUGAACGCUGGCGGCGUGCCUAAUACAUGCCAGUCGAGCGAACAGACGAGGAGCUUGCUCCUUUGACGUUAGCGGCGGACGGGUGAGUAACACGUGGGUAACCUACCUAUAAGACUGGGAUAACUUCGGGAAACCGGAGCUAAUACCGGAUAAUAUUUCGAACCGCAUGGUUCGAUAGUGAAAGAUGGCUUUGCUAUCACUUAUAGAUGGACCUGCGCCGUAUUAGCUAGUUGGUAAGGUAACGGCUUACCAAGGCAACGAUACGUAGCCGACCUGAGAGGGUGAUCGGCCACACUGGAACUGAGACACGGUCCAGACUCCUACGGGAGGCAGCAGUAGGGAAUCUUCCGCAAUGGGCGAAAGCCUGACGGAGCAACGCCGCGUGAGUGAUGAAGGUCUUCGGAUCGUAAAACUCUGUUAUUAGGGAAGAAUAAACGUGUAAGUAACUGUGCACGUCUUGACGGUACCUAAUCAGAAAGCCACGGCUAACUACGUGC
rnacentral:rRNA from 1 species